GCCCGCCCGCGCCUGCGGCUGCCUGCGCCGGACUGGAGAGCGCGGAGGGCCGACCUGACCCGCCGAAAGGGCCUGAGGCGAGGGGAGCCCGGGUCCCGGGGCCUUGGGGAAGGACCCGCAGCCGCACGCCGGCCCCAAGUGCAAAGCAUUGACACGACCCCGAGCGGAGAGGGGGCGCCCUCCUUCUCCCGCGCCCAGAGGCCCGGCCGCUCUGGCCCGAGCCCCAGCCUGGCCUCCGACCCAGCUCCGGGUCGUGGCGCCGCCUGGGGGUCCCUGCGCCCCGGAAAGAGACAGCAGGCACUGGAAAGCGAGGCCGGUGGGCGGGCGAGUCGGGAGGCUCGGGCGGCCGAGGUCCGGGAGCGGAUCCCAGGUGGCGGGAGCUGGUGAGUGGAGCCAUGGCCGAGCCCUGCUGGGGCCGGCGCGGGCGGGAGCGGGACGCGGCCUUGCGCUGGGGAAACGCGGGGACCCCCUACCCGCGCCCGCCUUCACCGGAAGACUCGGAAGGAACCUGGAGUUCUCCGCAGGCCCGGGCCCCGCCCUGAGCUUUCCAGCGGCCGGGAGGAGCGGAUCCUCGGGGCCAGGAAGGUGAGCGCACCUUUCGCUGAGCACAGGGCGGCACCGCGCGGGCGGACCCCGGAUUCUCCACCCGCGACCCAACGAAUUUUCGCCCUAUCCGGUACCGGAGACGAAAGUCUCCUUCUUCCGAAAUACCGGCUUCCUCUCUUCGCCCUGCCAACCACUUUUUUAGUUUCUUCUCAUCUCUCGGAAGCGCACGUCUCCUAAGUUAAGGAGUGCUGAGUAACGCGUGAGGGAGUUGGGGUGUCUGCGAGCACCUGUGAUUGAAGCCCCCUCUUCUGUGAUCAGUCUUCGUUUUCUGUCUUCCGGCAGCCUCAGUUUCCCCCCCAUGAAGUGAUGGUGUGUGUGUGUGUGUGUGUGUGUGUGUGUGUGUGUGUGUGUGUGUCGGGCCCCGUGUGGUGCCCUCUGUGCGCAGCGAGAGCUAUAACUCAAGGUGUGCACGGGGAGAGUGAAGCGACCACGCACCUGCUUCCAAUCGGGCUCGGGCGCGAACACUCAGGCUGAUUCCUGAAGGUCGUUUUCUGAAGGAAAAGACAGAGCAUGCACUAGCCACGGGUGACAUUCCCACCCGUACAACCGCGUGGUGGGCGCGUACAUCCAACAUUGACCCAUGCAGGCGCCCGCCCACUGCGCACACCGGUCGCAGGGCACUUCGUUGUUGAACGUUGGGAGCAGCGUUUGAAGGCCGGAUCUCUCCUGGCAGUGCGGAUUCGGGACCGGCGGAAGCAGUAUGGCCUCUGCGACCGUUAUCCCUACUUUUCGGGGCCGACCCCAGGGCCCUCACAACUCCUCAUCACCGCAUAUGUGAGCGCCGCCCCCACAGGGUUUUCUCCACGACCUCGUUCUUGGCUAGGUCGCACCUCUCUUAGUACCUCCUCUCUGGCCAGAACGAAUCUUUGACUCCGAGCUGCGCAGUCUACGCAGACGGGGCAGGAUCCACUGCAGUUUUCCACAGGCAAAUACCUGCUGGCUCCACCUUAGGCGAGAUGUGGCCUCUCGGGGAGGGACCCGUUGUGGACACGUUUGCGCAGCCGGUGAGGUGACCAGAUAAUAACCAGGGCAGCUUUCCUUAGCCGGGAACCCAGGUACCGGCCUAGGAAUCCGUGAAUACAUUCGCAAAGUCGCGCGCGCGCGCGCGCGCGUGUGUGUGUGUGUGUGUGUGUGUGUGUGUGUAGACACAUACUUUUGUCCUUGUAAGAGUAUGUGUACAUCUAAAUGUGUGCGUUUUAGACAUUAGUCCAUUUCAUUAGUCCAUCCAUAGCUGGUCCAGGGGUCCGAGGCCUGAAGAGUUUGAAACACUCAGGCCUGGGUUAUUUGACCGAGAAACCUGGCGGCGACAGUGCAGCGGCUGCAUCUGGGGACGGCGACCCCACCUACAGUGGCACCGACCUUCCCUCUGGCUUUCCGGGGCUCUGUCCGGGCCAGGAUCCCACCACUCGCCCCGCCCCGCGGUCCCGCGAUCACCCUGAGGUCCUGCUGCAGCCGCUCUGAAGAGUCUGUAGCGACCCCCAGCCAAACUCUCCAGCUAGGAAUGCCCGAGGCUCACCGAAAGCUGGCGCUGGGGAGGCCUGGGAGGCCCUGGAGCGGCGCCGUGAGGCCUCCGCUGGGCCCCUCCCCCACCUAGGCCGGCCCCCUCCCCCUUCCCAGGAACCCCCUCCCCUGGCGGAGCCCCGGGGGCCGAGUGUGCGUGUUCCUUUAAGAGGCCCCGGGGGGCGCCUCGCGGGCCGCCCGGGGCUGGAGGGGGAGGGCGCGGGCGGGGGCGGCUGGCGCCAGGCGGCCGAGGCUCCACAACAAAGCUCCGGCCCCUGUCACUUCGCAUCGGCCAGGUCCCGCAGACAGGCGGGGGACGCGCGCUCGGCCGCCCCUCCCUCUCGCAGGCGGUCUCCGGCCAGGGCGUCGGGCGGGCUUGGGCUGGUGGCGCGCGGUCUGUGCGCCCCGCGCUUCCCGCAACAGUGAAAUGGGGCGGGAGCGGGGACGGCCUGGGCCGGGUGGGGCCGCGGUCCUGAGCCUGGCGUGGCUGCCCUUCCGUCCUCCGGCCCCGUCACCUCUCGCAGGGUUAAGGGGCACUGCUGGGACCUUCCCCGGGUUGAGCCUCCAGGUGGCAGGGGGUCCCCGCCGCUUCCUCCUCUGUGUGCAGGGCCGGGGUUGCGUGACCCCGCGGGCAGUGGGCAGCAGGAAGCUCGGGCUGUGCGGCCGCGUGGCAGAGCGGACGACGGACUUGCGUCCGAGUGACGGGGCGCGGGCUGCAGACUGGCUUAAGCCCUCGGUGGCAGACGAAUGUGCCCAGGCUAAGCUCAGGGGACGUGUGUGGCCCCGUGCUAUGGGCCCGCUGUGAGGGUGCCGCCAGGCCGUCGAUCACUGCCUGGACGUGAGGAGUGUGGUGGUGAAGGACACUCCCUGGACAGAGUCGCUUCCCAUCACGGCUUCCCCGCCGGACCGCACCUCCCGGAGCCCUGGCGCCAGCCAGCCCGGUUUAGCGGCCGGACCGGGCUCCCCCGCGGUCCCAGGUCUGGUUGGGGUGGGGGCCGCGGCCUCGGUGACCCCAGCCCGCAGCGGCCCGGCCCGUCCCGUCCACUUAAACAAAUUGCCGCUGACAGGCGCGCAGUCUCUCUGGAGCCGCCGCCCUCCCGUCGCCUCCCUCCCGUCCCAAUUAUCCCGCGCAGGGUGGGGCCAACUGGCUGGGAUGGGGCGGGGGACGCGGGGAGAGCGGGCGGCUCGACUCCCUCCUGGUCGCGGGGUGGCCCGGGGAAGCGUCUCCGCAGCCACGGCCUGUGUGGCCCCGUCCCUGGUCUUCCCGGGGGAUGCGAGGGCAAGGCCCAGCCUGGCAGCUGUGGGCCCUGGAAGGGCGUCGUUCUGCACCUAAGGGCGAGAUCACGCGGCCGAGAACCAAGGCCGCAUCCCGGAUGGACUUCGGGUGACUUUCCCGGAGUUCUGGGGAAUCCCCUAACCCGGGGAGCUGCAGACGACUCACUGGCCCCGGGCCGCGGUUCCGCGGGUGGCCGCUGUACGCUUGAGACACCUGGUCCGCAGAAGUCAGGUGCCCUGGCAGGAGGGACUGGCUUAUGCCACCCUGUGCAGGAUCGUCUUCUCAGCUUACAGAGCCUAGUGUGAUUCAACAACCCUCCAUCUCUGCCCCCAACAUGCCCAACUGAUCUGGUGGAGGGAACUGAAGAUGAAGGCCUCUCAGGCACCAUGGAUGGGAUGGGUGUGUGUGAAGGGGGCAGGGUCCCCAGGAGCUGCCCCAGGUCUGGCUGGACAGUUGCACGGGAAGUCCUGUUUGUGAACUCAACGUUUCCACGGCUUUUCCAUUAAACUUUACCCCAAAUCACACCUGGCUCUGUGGGUUUCCUUCCAUUCUCCAAGGCCUCCCUGGGGUCUCUGGGAAGUGUGGGCCAGGGAAGGGGGCAAAGGACUAGCAUUCGUCUCCUUCCUGCUCAAUGCACCAUUUUUUCUCCCUGUUCCUGUCUCUGUUGCCACUUACUUUAGGUCCGGAAGUGGUGGUGGUGGGGCGGGGGGACAAAAUCAGGAACGUGUCAUCUGAGGGUUCCGGCCAGGUUUCAUGAGAUACCCACCUUCACCUGACCACCCUUCCAUCUUCUGAGUUAAAAAGAGGCAAUUACAACAAGGUGCCCCCCAGAUGAGGCUUUGCCAGACUCUCCCCUUGACAGCAACCCACCAGCACAUGGCAAGCCCUGAUCCCCAGGGAGGAGGGUCCAACCCU
rnacentral:lncRNA from 1 species